rnacentral:rRNA from 1 species
AAUAGAUACCCGGGUAGUCCACGCCGUAAACGAUGAGUGCUAAGUGUUAGGGGGUUUCCACCCCUUAGUGCUGCAGCUAACGCAUUAAGCACUCCGCCUGGGGAGUACGGUCGCAAGACUGAAACUCAAAGGAAUUGACGGGGGCCCGCACAAGCGGUGGAGCAUGUGGUUUAAUUCGAAGCAACGCGAAGAACCUUACCAGGUCUUGAUAUCCCGCUGACCGCUAUGGAGACAUAGCCUUCCCUUCGGGGACAGCGGUGACAGGUGGUGCAUGGUUGUCGUCAGCUCGUGUCGUAAGAUGUUGGGUUAAGUCCCGCAACGAGCGCAACCCUUGUCCUUAGUUGCCAUCAUCCAGUUGGGCACUCUAAGGAGACUGCCGUACAAAUACGGAGGAAGGUGGGGAUGACGUCAAAUCAUCAUGCCCCUUAUGACCUGGGCUACACACGUGCUACAAUGGACGGUACAAACGGUCGCGAAGUCGCGAGACGGAGCCAAUCCGAAAAAACCGUUCUCAGUUCGGAUUGCAGGCUGCAACUCG